rnacentral:sRNA from 1 species
UUGUAAGGAAUUCCUUGAUGGACACAGG